rnacentral:rRNA from 1 species
GACGAACGCUGGCGGCGUGCUUAACACAUGCAAGUCGAACGGAAAGGCCCUGCUUUUGUGGGGUGCUCGAGUGGCGAACGGGUGAGUAACACGUGAGUAACCUGCCCUUGACUUUGGGAUAACUUCAGGAAACUGGGGCUAAUACCGGAUAGGAGCUCCUGCUGCAUGGUGGGGGGUGGAAAGUUUCGGCGGUUGGGGAUGGACUCGCGGCUUAGCAGCUUGUUGGUGGGGUAGUGGCUUACCAAGGCUUUGACGGGUAGCCGGCCUGAGAGGGUGACCGGCCACAUUGGGACUGAGAUACGGACCAGACUCCUACGGGAGGCAGCAGUGGGGAAUAUUGCACAAUGGGCGGAAGCCUGAUGCAGCAACGCCGCGUGCGGGAUGACGGCCUUCGGGUUGUAAACCGCUUUCGCCUGUGACGAGGCGUGAGUGACGGUAAUGGGUAAAGAAGCACCGGCUAACUACGUG